CUGAUAUUCUGUUCUGCUGGCUGUGUGAUUGAACGUCGAGAUGGAACUGAAAGCAGCUGAUCAGAUGCGAUCGGAUACAUACGGCUCCCCGGCGAUUUCGUUUUAGGUGGCAUAACAGGCCACUUUUAAAAAGGAUACUGUCCACUGGCCAACUAGAGAAGCUUUGGUAUGAAUAUAACAUGGUCCCGUAUCUGUAAAUUUAGACGGCAAACAGCGUUGUACAGGCAUUGCACGUGGGGAGGCAUCGAUGCAUAAGCGCAUUUUGAAAUUAACAGCUUUUUAAUGGUUUUGGGUUGCCAUCCCGAUUUCUAUAUAUGUUGAGAGUUGCCGUCCUAAUUUCUUCAUAUGCCGAGAGUUGCCAUCCUUAAUCUCACAUGUGUGCAGUGGACUCCAAUCGAUAAAACAAAAUACCAAAAUACCCAGAGAAUAAACAUUAAAAUAUAAACUUUAAAAUAUUGUACAACUCGUACUAACCUAUGAGCUUUAAA